rnacentral:rRNA from 1 species
UACGGAGGAUGCGAGCGUUAUCCGGAUUUAUUGGGUUUAAAGGGUGCGCAGGCGGGACAAUAAGUCAGCGGUGAAAUCUCGAGGCUCAACCUCGAACCUGCCGUUGAAACUGUUGUUCUUGAGUAUGGAUGAAGUAGGCGGAAUUCGUUGUGUAGCGGUGAAAUGCAUAGAUAUAACGAGGAACCCCAAUUGCGUAGGCAGCUUACUAAACCAUUACUGACGCUCAAGCACGAAAGCGUGGGUAUCAAACAGG